rnacentral:lncRNA from 1 species
AGAAUAACAAGUGUCUUCAGGGAUGCCUACAGCUAGAGAAGUUUGGCGUCUUAUGAUCUCUAGAACAUGCCCUUGCAGGGACUCCAGAUGUUGAUCCAAAUGUUAAUGUCAUUGAGAAACACCUUGACUGACACACCCAGAAUAAUGUUUGAGCAAACAUCCGGGCUCUCCAUGGCUCAGUCAAACUGGCACAUCAUACUCUGAGUGAGAUUGGAAGACACUGAGGCUGAGUGACUUGGGCAAUGAUUCAGCAAUACCAACUGUGAACUCUCAAUGACUUGGGCUAAUGAGAAGAAUGACAUGGAUAAUCUAAAAAUAAUGGACAACUGGAAAAAACAUCAGCCUGCUUGUGGAGCACACCAGGUCAUGAUUUCUGCAGUGGGGGAGGAGCUGAUUUGCUUCAUUCAUUCUAGAACCUCUAUUCUAGCUGAUGUUAAAUCUGGUUGUUUUUGAGAGCACUCAUAGCCAUCAUGCCCAUCUCUGUAUCACAGGGGUUUGGGAAAAGAAACUCUUCUGGCCAAGGAUGGAAGAAUAAAAACAUAACUGAGUUCCAGAUA